UAAUUGUUCUAUUUUUACAAGAAUAAAAAUGAUGAGAUUAUCGAAUAAAUGUUCCAAAAAAGAUUAUAUUAAUAAAUAAAAAAGAUAGUAAUGUGCAUCUGCAGACGAUCAACCCAAAUAAGCUGACUGCGCUGAACGAAAUAUUAAGAACGUAGAGACUCCAACCUGCAUUAACUUCAACAGGUUCAGAUGAAAAUUUCUUCAGAUAAGUAUACAAUAGUAUUGAUGUUUACAUACUUUGUAUUCUUUGAAAAGAUUUUGUGCUUGUGACGUUACGGCGUAAAAAUCAGCAUAGACGUAGUUAUAGUUUUUCUUUAUAGACCGCUAGCAAUAAGGGACGAGAACGAAGUGAAGCAACAAACCAGAAUAGUAGUUGACCACCGUAAACAUAAUUUAAAGAAUUUACGGGAUUGCGCAAGAAAUCCAAAGACACCACAGCAGGACUUGGGCCGCAGGUUUCACGCCUAUGUUCUAUACCAUCUAAUGUGUACUUUCCAAAAAAAAGAAAAAUUUUUUUUACUUUUUCUUUUUGUCUAUUUAGGAAAUUUGCACACGAUUAAAUUUAAAAAGGAAAAUUAAACAUAUAGUAAAAACCAACAAAAAAAAACUUGAAUGAAAUUUUUUUUAUUCGUCACACGUUUAAAAGUCGUUUAUUUUUCCAAGAAAAAUAGAAAAAAUGGAAAAGAAAAAAGGUACACACACACUUCCAUUUUUAACCCCGAAGUAAUUUUUUUUGAAUUCUUCGCUUUUUAUUAAUGCCUUCGUUUUGUUUCUUUUGUUUUCUUUUCAUUCUUAUCGCUAUUAGGAGUCAAUUCUAGGUAAAUAAUAAAAGUUUAAAGAAGAUAUGAAAGAAGAAACCCUACUUUUAUUCAUAAAAUAGAGUUGAAGAGUAACUGUACGUGUAGAACGGAUGAUAUUGCAGGAAAUAUUUUUAUAAGGAACCAUAGAUGAAUAGACGAGUGCAAGAAUGUAAAGAAGAAUAUUGAGGUUGGAGCACAAAAGCAAAUAAUACAAACAAAAAAGUUGUAUACAAAAUGGAAAAAAAACCUUUUUUCUUUUCUGUUUUUUUUCUGAGGUCGUUAGUUGACAAAUAUUGUAGGAACUGAUUUUUAAAAUUCCUUGUAAAUUUGUAACACAUUACGCCAAUGGCAUAUUUGCCAAAUUGUAAUAUUUUUUUUUAAAUAUUAAACGUUCCGAGAAUACUUUUUACUUAUUCUUAUU